AUGAAAUCGUGGAUGAUGCUCAUCAGUGUAUCUAUCUCCUCUUUCACUGGGUUGGCAAAAAUGAUGGCGUCGUCUGCAUAUAAACUUACACGCAAAUCAAGGUCUCUUCCUGGGAUCGGAUCGAGCUGGCCAAGCUCAGUGGCACGCUGGAGAAGCCUGUGGAGCGGAUCUAUGGCGAUGAUGAAGAGUAGCGGGGACAGUGGGUCACCUUGUCGAAGACCCCGUCGUAGCCAAAUUUUCUUUCCCGCUGCACCAUUUAGCAAAAAUGAAGAGGUCGACGUCUUCAGGAGCAUGGCUAUCCAGUCGCGCCAUCGAGCUGGGAAGCCGAGGGCCUGUAGGAGUUGCAGUAGAUAUUCCCACGAAACAUUGUCGAAGGCCUAUGUGCCCUAUCUCGACGCACCAAGGAAAUAA
rnacentral:rRNA from 1 species